CUAUGUGUUGUUGGGUAGGGGAGCGUUCUGUAAGCCUGCGAAGGUGUACUGUGAGGUAUGCUGGAGGUAUCAGAAGUGCGAAUGCUGACAUAAGUAACGAUAAAGCGGGUGAAAAGCCCGCUCGCCGGAAGACCAAGGGUUCCUGUCCAACGUUAAUCGGGGCAGGGUGAGUCGACCCCUAAGGCGAGGCCGAAAGGCGUAGUCGAUGGGAAACAGGUUAAUAUUCCUGUACUUGGUGUUACUGCGAAGGGGGGACGGAGAAGGCUAUGUUGGCCGGGCGACGGUUGUCCCGGUUUAAGCGUGUAGGCUGGUUUUCCAGGCAAAUCCGGAAAAUCAAGGCUGAGGCGUGAUGACGAGGCACUACGGUGCUGAAGCAACAAAUGCCCUGCUUCCAGGAAAAGCCUCUAAGCAUCAGGUAACAUCAAAUCGUACCCCAAACCGACACAGGUGGUCAGGUAGAGAAUACCAAGGCGCUUGAGAGAACUCGGGUGAAGGAACUAGGCAAAAUGGUGCCGUAACU
rnacentral:rRNA from 1 species